CAGAUACUCCCUCCGUCCGGAAAAGCUUGUCCCAAGCUUGUCCAUCAAAUGGAUGUAUUUAGCAGUAACUUGGUGCUAGAUAUAUCCAUUUGAGGGACAAGUUUUUCUGGACGGAGGGAGUACUAU
rfam:Triticum urartu cultivar G1812 contig907054, whole genome shotgun sequence.